CCUACGGGAGGCAGCAGUGGGGAAUUUUGGACAAUGGGCGCAAGCCUGAUCCAGCCAUUCCGCGUGCAGGAUGAAGGCCUUCGGGUUGUAAACUGCUUUUGUACGGAACGAAAAGGCUCUGGCUAAUACCUGGGGCUCAUGACGGUACCGUAAGAAUAAGCACCGGCUAACUACGUGCCAGCAGCCGCGGUAAUACGUAGGGUGCGAGCGUUAAUCGGAAUUACUGGGCGUAAAGCGUGCGCAGGCGGUUAUGUAAGACAGAGGUGAAAUCCCCGGGCUCAACCUGGGAACUGCCUUUGUGACUGCAUGACUAGAGUACGGCAGAGGGGGAUGGAAUUCCGCGUGUAGCAGUGAAAUGCGUAGAUAUCAGGAAGAACACCGGUAGCGAAGGCGGCUUCCUGGUCCGUAACUGACGCUGAGGCGCGAAAGCGUGGGGAGCAAACAGGAUUAGAUACCCCGGUAGU
rnacentral:rRNA from 1 species